CCUACGGGGGGCAGCAGUGGGGGAUAUUGCACAAUGGAGGAAACUCUGAUGCAGCGACGCCGCGUGAGGGAAGACGGUCUUCGGAUUGUAAACCUCUGUCUUUGGGGAAGAAAAUGACGGUACCCAAAGAGGAAGCUCCGGCUAACUACGUGCCAGCAGCCGCGGUAAUACGUAGGGAGCGAGCGUUGUCCGGAAUUACUGGGUGUAAAGGGAGCGUAGGCGGGCGAGAAAGUUGAAUGUUAAAUCUACCGGCUUAACUGGUAGCUGCGUUCAAAACUUCUUGUCUUGAGUGAAGUAGAGGCAGG
rnacentral:rRNA from 1 species